rnacentral:rRNA from 1 species
GACGAACGCUGGCGGCGUGCUUAACACAUGCAAGUCGAACGAUGAAGCCUAGCUUGCUAGGUGGAUUAGUGGCGAACGGGUGAGUAAUACGUGAGUGACCUACCUUUGACUCUGGGAUAAGCCUGGGAAACUGGGUCUAAUACCGGAUACGACCAAUCUCUGCAUGGGGUGUUGGUGGAAAGCGUUAUGGAGUGGUUUUAGAUGGGCUCACGGCCUAUCAGCUUGUUGGUGAGGUAAUGGCUUACCAAGGCGACGACGGGUAGCCGGCCUGAGAGGGUGACCGGCCACACUGGGACUGAGACACGGCCCAGACUCCUACGGGAGGCAGCAGUGGGGAAUAUUGCACAAUGGGCGCAAGCCUGAUGCAGCGACGCCGCGUGAGGGAUGACGGCCUUCGGGUUGUAAACCUCUGUUAGCAUCGAAGAAGCGAAAGUGACGGUAGGUGCAGAGAAAGCGCCGGCUAACUACGUGCCAGCAGCCGCGGUAAUACGUAGGGCGCGAGCGUUGUCCGGAAUUAUUGGGCGUAAAGAGCUUGUAGGCGGUUGGUCGCGUCUGCUGUGAAGGCCGGGGCUUAACUCCGGUUUUGCAGUGGGUACGGGCUAACUAGAGUGCAGUAGGGGAGGCUGGAAUUCCUGGUGUAGCGGUGGAAUGCACAGAUAUCAGGAGGAACACCGAUGGCGAAGGCAGGUCUCUGGGCUGUAACUGACGCUGAGAAGCGAAAGCAUGGGGAGCGAACAGGAUUAGAUACCCUGGUAGUCCAUGCCGUAAACGUUGGGCACUAGGUGUGGGGGACAUUCCACGUUUUCCGCGCCGUAGCUAACGCAUUAAGUGCCCCGCCUGGGGAGUACGGCCGCAAGGCUAAAACUCAAAGGAAUUGACGGGGGCCCGCACAAGCGGCGGAGCAUGCGGAUUAAUUCGAUGCAACGCGAAGAACCUUACCAAGGCUUGACAUGCAUUAGAUCGCGUCAGAGAUGGCGGUUCCCUUCGGGGCUGGUGUACAGGUGGUGCAUGGUUGUCGUCAGCUCGUGUCGUGAGAUGUUGGGUUAAGUCCCGCAACGAGCGCAACCCUCGUUCUAUGUUGCCAGCGGUUCGGCCGGGGACUCAUAGGAGACUGCCGGGGUUAACUCGGAGGAAGGUGGGGAUGACGUCAAAUCAUCAUGCCCCUUAUGUCUUGGGCUUCACGCAUGCUACAAUGGCCGGUACAGAGGGUUGCGAUACUGUGAGGUGGAGCUAAUCCCUUAAAGCCGGUCUCAGUUCGGAUUGGGGUCUGCAACUCGACCCCAUGAAGUCGGAGUCGCUAGUAAUCGCAGAUCAGCAACGCUGCGGUGAAUACGUUCCCGGGCCU